GACGAACGCUGGCGGCGUGCCUAAUACAUGCAAGUUGAACGCUGAAGGUUGGUACUUGUACCAACUGGAUGAGCAGCGAACGGGUGAGUAACGCGUGGGGAAUCUGCCUUUGAGCGGGGGACAACAUUUGGAAACGAAUGCUAAUACCGCAUAAAAACUUUAAACACAAGUUUUAAGUUUGAAAGAUGCAAUUGCAUCACUCAAAGAUGAUCCCGCGUUGUAUUAGCUAGUUGGUGAGGUAAAGGCUCACCAAGGCGAUGAUACAUAGCCGACCUGAGAGGGUGAUCGGCCACAUUGGGACUGAGACACGGCCCAAACUCCUACGGGAGGCAGCAGUAGGGAAUCUUCGGCAAUGGACGAAAGUCUGACCGAGCAACGCCGCGUGAGUGAAGAAGGUUUUCGGAUCGUAAAACUCUGUUGGUAGAGAAGAACGUUGGUGAGAGUGGAAAGCUCAUCAAGUGACGGUAACUACCCAGAAAGGGACGGCUAACUACGUG
rnacentral:rRNA from 1 species